rnacentral:lncRNA from 1 species
AAGUAUUGAUAAAAGCUUUGCUUUUUGUUCAAGAUUCUCAGAAAAAACUAUCUUUUUAAAUAUGAUCAAUUAAAAUCUAUCAGACAAGAUCUUAUGGUACAACGGAUACGCAAUGAGUUGACGGUAAGGGUAUGAAGCUUCGAAGCCCUACAGUCAGAAUUAGCAACAAGGAUUCUUCCUGCAGAUUUUGUAAGAUUGGAUCAAGAUAUAUUACCACCGUUUGCAGGAAAGAAGCAGUUGUACACAUAUGAAACUAUGGAUUUUUGGGAACAAAUAAAAACACCUGGGAGGGGUGAUGACCAAAUUGAUCCCAAGAAACACUGUCAUCCCAACCAAGAAAUCUCAAGUUUUUACUACCUACCAAGAUCAGCAGACUGUUGUCUCAAUCAAGGUUUAUGAAGGUUAAAGAAGUCUUACAAAGGACUGUAGGCUUCUAGGAACUUUUGACCUCACUAGAAUUCCUCCAGCUCCAAGGGGAACCCCACAAAUUGAAGUCACAUUUGAAGUAGAUGCUAACGGUAUCUUAAACGUCAAGGCUGAAGACAAUCAGAAAAGAUCACUAUCACAAAUGAAAAGGGUCGAUUGAGCCAAGAAGAGAUCGAGUGUAUGGUUAGGGAAGCCGAAGAAUUCGCUGAAGAAGACAAAAAGGUGAAAGAAAAGAUCGAAUUGGUAUUAGCAGUGAAAAAGGAAUUUGCUUUCUACUGUAUAUGAAGGGCGAUUUGCAGAUAAAGUUUAACCAGGAAAUGGAUUGGCUUAGCAUAAUUUUUGAAGGGGCGAACCGUGAAGGCCGAUACAAAUUAAACUUUGAUGAGGAGGAUAUAAAAUUGAGUAAGAGAACGACGGAUACGCAAGCAUACAUAUUCUAACAAUGGGAUCAAGUUUCUUGCAAAUGCUGCUGGUGAGAGUUCACUAUGAACAACAGAACAUUAAUCAUUUGGAGCACUAAUGCUCCAUCUGCAAACAAGACUCGGAUGUCUAGCUCCUUGGCUAUUUUUAGUACUAACUCAGCUGACUGUAAUGUGGAGAAUAACUCAUGGUCUUCAAACCUUCUUGUUGCCAGGAGAUGCUUCAUUAGAGAAGUCAAUGCACUAGCUGGAUUGGGGAGAAGUUUUAAUUCCUGCAGACUGUGUUAACCCAAGAUUUGUCGAAGUCACUAGCAAAAAGGUUGAGUUGAUGUUUCGCUUUCAUCCUACAUUUGUCAAGUUUUUAGCAAUUUGGUUGGGUGCAUAAAUCUGUUAUUGGAAUAGAUUCACGGGGGCAUUUGGGUCACUGGCAACGAGUUGAAAAGGUGGAGUUUCUGUUCCGGAUCAUUUAGAGGGGUUCUUGGGGCUGUAUUUUGUAUCUAAAGUCGCUUUAUUUAUUUUGUUUUUAGUGUUUUUCCGGGUUAUGUUCUCUUUUGGUUUUAUCGAAACCAAUGGUCAAACACUUGGAGACUUUUUGGACCGUAUAUGAAGUUUAGACCACUUU